AGUAACCUUUCCUUAUACAGUACAGGCAGGGAUGCAAAUAGUCUCUCCAUUUACACUAGAAAUAAGUGAUCUAAACAGCAAAACAAUUCCAGCAAAAUACAUGGGCAGACACACUGGCUUUGAAUGAAGCAGGUGCACAAAGCUGUAAGAACUUCCCUCUUCACAGGUCAGUUCCCUCAGCCCUAACACCAUCAUCUCAAACUACCAAGGCCGGCCACAAGAGUUAAGACAGUAAGAAGACAGGGUUUUAAGUUUCUUCUGUUCUUGCAGGCAGCGAGGAAGGGCCUGGCAGCUGCCAUUCCAGAUUCUCCUCAGAACAGGCUGAAGAGACAAGCAUUUGCCAUUCAGUCUAAAUCUCUAAGGUCAGCUGAUCUAGUCACUCUAAGACUCUAGGGUCAGCUGACUUGUAGAUUUUCAAGGAGUUAUUUUGGGACUAAUGGUAAGAUGAAUUUAUGGAGGUGCUUGGUAUAUUAUGCUCUGGAGAACUGUGCUGGUGUAGGGAAUUCUUUCUGCAAAUUCCCAUUGAAGACGAGGAAAGAGAUGAGGACAGAUGGGGUGAUGGGUGGUGUGCAGGAUCUCCAUGUGGAGCACAGGCUGGCCUAGAACUCUCACGUCUUCUGACUCAGUCUGCAGAUGCUGGCACCACAGGCACACACUAACAUUCUGGGUUAGAAUGAUGGUCGUCCAGCUGAAGUCAGCAGUCUUCUGAAGAGAAUGAACUGGACAGUUAAGCUAACUGUGCACUGUACUUUGGGGAUAAACUAGAAGCCCCUUCCCAUUUUACUUCCAUCAUAUGCAGACCUGUCUUCUACACAAAGAGGAGAUAAUUCUCUUUCUUGGCUUGGAAGACCACUCUGCUUCAUCCAGAAACUUCAGGCAUAUGGCUGCUACUGCCUCACUGAGUUUCGAGCACACAAGGUUUGGCAACAAGUGCCCUUGCUUUUGAACAUUGGGAGAGUUUCCUGUAAGACCCAGAACAUGACUGAGACCUCUCUCAAGUGUGUUCUCACUGGAGAGCACCUUCCUUCAGAAUGCAGAUCCGAGCACUGAGGACAAAGGGGACUUGUGUGAAUGAAGCCAGAGCUUAAGGAGUGGCCGGCUGGAAUGGGGUGAGAACAAUCCUUCUGGUUCUAUUCAAGCAGCUGACUGCAAACCCCAGCUUUCAACAUGGAGGGACACAACACUGCCUUCUCCAGGGCUGCCUCAGCACACCCUGAGAUACAUCUUCAUGCCAGUUUUCAAAGAACAGAAGCUCAUCAAUGCAUCAGGUUGUGUUUAUUGGAGACAGAGUAAUAUUCCGUAGCUCAGGCAGACUUGGAAAUCAUGGUAAUACUCCGGCCUCAGCUUCCUAAGUGCAAAGAUUAUAGGGGUGGGCUACCAGACAAGAAUUCUGAUCUGUUUCCAUUGAUAUUUUUUCUUUAUGUUGCUCUGGCUGUCCUAGAAGUAGUUAUGAAGACCAGGCUAGCCUCGAACUCACAGAGAUCCACCUGCCUCUGCCUCCAGAGUGCUGGGAUUAAA